CAGGCUCGCGCUUGAAUACAUUAGCAUGGAUAAUGAAAUAGGACGUUUGAUUCUAUUUUGUUGGUUUCUAGGAUUGACGUAAUGAUUAAUAGGGAUAGUUGGGGGCGAUUAGUAUUCAAUUGUCAGAGGUGAAAUUCUUGGAUUUAUUGAAGACUAACUACUGCGAAAAGCAUUUGCCAAGGAUGUUUUCAUUAAUCAAGAACGAAAGUUAGGGGAUCGAAGACGAUCAGAUACCGUCGUAGUCUUAACCAUAAACUAUGCCGACUAGGGAUCGGAUGAUGUUAAUUUUUUAAUGACUCAUUCGGCGCCUUACG
rnacentral:rRNA from 1 species